ensembl:lncRNA
GGAAAUGGCAACCCACUCCAGUGUUCUUGCCUGGGGAAUCCCAGGGACAGGGGAGCCUGGUGGGCUGCCGUCUAUGGGGUCACACAGAGUUGGACACGACUGAAGCAACACAGCAGCAGCAGCAGCUUAUCACAAUGAUCUAUCUUUGGAUAAAAAUCAGAUGCCCCACAACCUGCAACCAGGAGAUUACGCAUACUGGAAAGGGCAUAAUUUGAAGAAAUGUCUCCGUCCUAGCUAAAAGGACCCUUACUGGGAGAAGGAAAUGUCAACCACUCCACUGUUUUUGCCUGGAGAAACCUGUGGACAGAGAAGCCUGGCAGGCUAUAGUCUAUGGUGUUGCAAAAGAGUCGGUCAUGACUUAGCUACUCAACAACAACUGGGUACUCUUCACUAGCUUAUUAUGAAUUCCCAGUUAGAAAGGGCCACUGCCCUGGACUGGUCUAUAGAAAGGACUGCUGACCUGAAAUGACACCCAUAUAGUGGAAGAAGAUAGCGGUAGGGAGUUGAGCCCAAAACACAUACCAGGCCUGUAAGACCCAUCCUCCCAACUCAAUUGAACUGUUUCUCAAAUGUUUGUCUCCCUGUAACAUUAAGUGGUAUUGCUGCUAAGUCACUUCAGUCGUGUCCAACCCUCAGCGACCCCAUGGACUGCAGCCUUCCAGGCUCCUCCGUCCAUGGGAGUUUCCAGGCAAGAGUGCUGGAGUGGGGCGCCAUUGUCUUCUCUGUGCCUGGCGUACUUUCCUUCACCACAGCGUGGUGUCAGUCAGUUGGCUUUGCUGCACCAUGGGGAUGAAGAUCAGGUGCCUCAUGACCUUCAACCAGGACUGGAAAAAGACAUAAUUUAAGGGACUGUCUCCAACCUGGAUGGAAGGACUUUUUUAUCAGGAGAAACUACACUACACCAGGAUGAGAAGACGGCGACAUCAGAGGGAGACAGCUUCCCCAAGAUGCUGGACCUGAUUCGUAUGAUCAUUUAUGUUUUCUUGACUUCUUAGACCUUUGCAUAUAAAUCAAAUGCUUUUCUAUCAUAGGACUGAUUCUAUGCUAGUUUUAGAAAUCAAUUCAAUUUCUAAAUUUUGUGGUUUGUGGCCAAUUACCUGUGUCUAGUUCUGGGUUACCUUGGUAAAUUUCUCUACUACAAGACUCUUACUGGUUGGCCCUGAGAAAAUUUACUUAAAAAAAAAUUAUAGUCAUAUCACUAAAUGGGAUCCCCACACCGGGCCAAUUAAUAAUGCUUGCUCUGACUCUGGCCAUAAAUUUGAGCUUUUUUCUAUUACUCAAGCUCAAUCAGAGCAACGGAAAAAGUUUCAGCAAAGGAGGAAAAAAUCUCCCACAAUUAUGGGAUGGAUUUAUGUAGAUAACACCAGGCUAUGGUAAUUUAGGUUUAAAGUCUCCUCUGUGUUGGAAACAAUUAAAUCAUACUAAGGGUAAUCAGUCUAGUAACACUAGAAGACUGGGCUACGUGCCUCAUAGACGGUGGUGCCAAUAUAUAAUUUCCCUGGAAGAUAAAGAUUCUACAGAGUAAGAAUGACUAGGUCAGAUGACCUGAGAUAUACUGGGCUACAUCCACAUCUACAUCUACAUCUAAUGGACUUCCCUGGUAGCUCAGGGGUUAAAGUGUCUGCCUGGAACGUGGGAGACCCGGGUUUGAUCCCUGGGUCAGGAAGAUCCCCUGGAGAAGGAAAUGGCAACCCACUCCAGUACUCUUGCCUGGAGAAUCUCAUGGAGGGAGGAGCCUGGUAGGCUACAGUCCAUGGGGUUGCAAAGAGUCAGACAUGACUGAGCGACUUCACUUUCACUUUCAACAUGUUCUCCAAGCCAGGCUUCAGCAAUAUGUGAAUGAUGAACUUCCAGAUGUUCAAGCUGGUUUUAGAAAAGGCAGAGGAACCAGAGAUCAAAUUGCCAACAUCCUCUGGAUCAUGGAAAAAGCAAGAGAGUUCCAGAAAAACAUCUAUUUCUGCUUUAUUGACUAUGCCAAAGCCUUGGACUGUGUGGAUCACAAUAAACUGUGGAAAAUUCUGAAAGAGAUGGGAAUACCAGACCGCCUGACCUGACUCUUGAGAAACCUAUAUGCAGGUCAGGAAGCAACAGUUAGAACUGGACAAGGAACAACAGACUGGUUCCAAAUAGGAAAAGGAGUACAUCAACGCUGUAUAUUGUCACCCUGCUUAUUUAAUUUAUAUGCAGAGUACAUCAUGAGAAACGCUGGACUGGAAGAAGCACAAGCUGGAAUCAAGAUUGCCAGGAGAAAUAUCAAUAACCUCAGAUAUGCAGAUGACAUCACCCUUAUGGCACAAAGUGAAGAGGAGCUAAAAGCCUCUUGAUGAAAGUAAAAGAGGAGAGUGAAAAAGUUGGCUUAAAGUUCAACAUUCAGAAAACGAAGAUCAUGGCAUCUGGUCCCGUCACUUCAUGGGAAAUAGAUGAGGAAACAGUGGAAACAGUGUCAGACUAUUUUGGGGGGCUCCAAAAUCACUGCAGAUGGUAACUGCAGCCAUGAAAUUAAAAGAUGCUUACUCCUUGGAAGGAAAGUUAUGACCAACCCAGAUAGGAUAUUAAAAAGCAGAGACAUUACUUUGCCAACAAAGGUCCAUCUAGUCAAGGCUAUGGUUUUUCCUGUGGUCAUGUAUGGAUGUGAGAGUUGGACUGUGAAGAAAGCUGAGUGCUGAAGAAUUGAAUGUUUUGAGCUGUGGUGCUGGAGAAGACUCAUGAGAGUCCCUUGGACUGCUAGGAGAUCCAACCAGUCCAUUCUAAAGGAGAUCAGCCCCGGGUGUUCUUUGGAAGGAAUGAUGCUAAAGCUGAAAUUCCAGUCCUUUGGCCACCUCAUGCAAAGAGUUGACUCAUUGGAAAAGACUUUAAUGCUGGAAGGGAUUGGGAGCAGGAGGAGAAGGGGACGACAGAGGAUGAGAUGGCUGGAUGGCAUCACCAACUCGAUGGAUAUGAGUCUGAGUGAACUCUGGGAGUUGGUGGCGGACAGGGAGGCCUGGUAUGCUGCGAUUCAUGGGGUCACAAAGAGUCGGACACGACUGAGAGGCUGAACUGAACUGAACAUGUUCACAUCCUAUUUCCUCUUCCAAACCACAAACUCCAAAGGCCCAAGAAAGUACUAUUGAUUUUUUAAACAUUUAUUUGACUGCUCCAGGUCCCAGUUUCAGCAGGUGGGAUCCUCGUUGCCUUAUGCAAGAUCCUUAGUUGAGGAUCAGGAUCCAGGUUCCAGACCAGGGAUCUAGCUGGGACCCCUGCAUUGGGAGCACCGAGUCCCAACUACUGGGCCACCAGGGAAGGCCCUGAUUUUUAUGUCUUUCAAUGUCUAACACAUUUCCUUACAUAAAUUUCCUUAAACACUACUUGUUAAGUCCUUUAAUACACCAAUGUUGAGUUUAGUCAACAACUUUGUGUGUCAAUAAAUAGCUCUCAGUUCAACCUACAAACACUGGGACUUUUGCCAGGAAUUAUGUUAAUCAUUUCUCAUAUAACUGUACUCUCAGUCCAAAGGUUGAUCUAUACAAAGAUAAACUUAAAUAAUAAUAAAUCCAAGUACAUUCCUGAUAAUGGUAUGCUUAUCUGGCAUUUUACAUAAGAACUGGUUCUUUUGUAUUCCCCGAGUCAGAGGAGGAAAGGAAACCAGACAGAUAAGGAACAAAUUCAAGGUCCCAGCAAAUGAGGGAUGAGAUUAGAUUUAGAAUUUUGCAAGGUUGAAGGAAAUGUUCUUGCUGAGCUCCCUGGUGUGCCAGCUGACGAAGGUGCUAAUUGAUAAACAAGGUGAUUUGACCAGCAUCUUGCACAUAACACUAAAGAAAGGUAUCUAGCAGGCAGACGACUGUCCCAGCAGUGCUGGACGUUCUGGGUGAGUUCUGGCCCGGCAUUCAGAGGAGCUGGGUGUUAGCUGGUCCUCACCCACUGAAAGGGCUUCAGGGGACACAUUUAGUCACCUGUCUGAGUCUCACUGCAUCUUCAGAGAAUGAUGAUAGCAGACUCAACAUCAGAUCGCUCUAAUGCUGCGAUCUGGAGCAAUCCCUUCGCUUGAUCAGAUAUUCUGAGUGACUUUGUUGCAUCUGUGAGAAGUAUGAAGGGAGACUAAAACUAACACAGUUGAAAAAAAUUAACAAAGUGGGGAACAGAAUAGGGAAGAAACAAAAUGAGCUCCACUCAUGGAGAGUCUGGAGAGCUGGGCUAUAAAAUCUGACCUUGAUACAGGAAAGGGAAGAGGGCAGAAAAUACUGGAUUUCAGACUUUUAUAAAACCUCCCUUAUCUCAUCUGAUCUUCAUACUAAGUACCCUAAGAGUUGUGUGAGACAAAGGGACAGUGAGCAGGUUCAUCUACAGGUGAAUAAAAUAUUUCAGGACCCCACCCCAACAAUAAAGUCCAUGAACAAAUCUUGACAAGCCCCCUUCUGCACCUUUAGGCUCCUGUAAUUUGUACUGGCUUGUUGCUGGUGCCGGCUUUACUCUGUGACUGCCUGGAUUCCAGAAAGAUGAAGAAUCUAAAAAUAACAAAUUAAAUAUUUGCUAGACUUAUGACUUGAAGUUGAUUGCUUCUUCCCACUACCCUGACAUGGGGACAUAAUGUGACAAAAGUGUUAUUUUUGGAAGAUAAAUCAGACAACCAUUAGUGAGAUGGAAGAGUUCUGGAAGAGAAGGGAGACAGAACUGUGACCAGGCAGGAGUUGUGGCAAUUCCUGAAGGCUAGAGAAGGCAAUAUAGAGAGAAGGAAUUGGGUCUUGGUGAUAACUGGAUUAUAGGAGAUGAAGGAAAAAUAUUCAGAUUCCACUGUUAUCUAUUGAGCAUUGAUUAUAUUUCUUAUUUUACAGUUGGGUAGGUACUUUCACAUGCCCAUUUAAUUUGCUCUUCAGAAUGACCCUGCAGAAAUAAGUUUUAUAAGAGAUAUUGAGGAAAUCACCAAGGUCCAUGGCUAGGAAAUGAUAGAAUUUGAAUCUAGAUGUCUUAACUCCAAGUUCCAUGUUCUUUUCAACACAUUAUGGAUCUAUGGGACUUCCCUGGUUGUCCAGUGGUCAGGCAUCUGCCUGCCAGUGCAGAGGACAUGGGUUCUAUCCCUGAUCCCAGAAGAUCCCACAUGCCUCAUGGCAACUAGGUCCAUGUGCCACAACUACUGAGCAAUCUGGAGGCCACGUGCCACAACUGCUGAGCCUGUGUGCUGUGACCACUGAAACCCACGCAGCCUAGAGCCCAUUCUCAGUAACAUAAGAAGCCCAUGCAUCGCAACUAGAGACAGCCCUCACAUGCACAGAAGCAAAGAUCCAGUGCAGC